CUAUAAUGAUGAAGUUGUGCCUGUUUUUCCCGAUAAUAUUCUAUGAGAACUUAAAGAAAAAAAUGAUCAACCCUAGAAAAACGAGGAAGUGAAAGAAAAGAAGAAGCAUAAAAGAUUGUGUUCUCUGGUGCGCCAGGAGAAUCUAGCUCUGCCAUGGCCAAGAAGGACACCACAGAGAAGCCUAAGAAGAAGGCCAGAAAAAGUAAGAACCUUAAAAAAGUGAAAACCAUUGGCGUG
rnacentral:lncRNA from 1 species